AACGCACCUUGCGCUCCUUGGUAUUCCGAGGAGCAUGCCUGUUUGAGUGUCAUGAAAUUCUCAACUGCCUUUUUAGCAUUUAUGUUAAGGGUGAAGUUGGAUUUGGAGGAUAAUUGCUGGCGCAACUCAGGUUGCUUGUUGGCUCCUCUUAAAUGGAUGAGCUUUUCUAAUGGAUCAUAAUAGGCUAGUAACACUAAUGUGAUAAUUAUCUACGUUAGAUGUGAAAGCUUGUGAGUAAGAGUAACUUCAAUUAUGGAGAAGGCUCCCUAUAGAAAAGGUUGUUAUUAAUAGUCUUGGGGAAAAAGUUCUUUGGACCCUUGAUGUUUUAAUAUAUAAUGACAAAUCUGACCUCAAAUCAGGUAGGACUACCCGCUGAACUUAA
rnacentral:misc_RNA from 3 species